AGGAGCUGAAGGGACCAGCUUGGCCGUCAGUUGCAAGGAUGUGAGGCAGAAGCAACACAAAAGAUCUUGAUAUGAAGCAAUUAUUUUUGGUCUUAAACUGCUGGGACUCCAGAUGACCCAGACCAUGGUCAGCAGGCAGAAGCCAGAUGCUAUUGUCAAUAGAAUUGCCUUCAAGAUUCCUUUUCUGAUUGUUCAUUGCUGAGAUGACAUCUCACUAUAUUGCCCAGGCUGGUCUUGAACUUCUAGCCUCAAGCAAUCCUCCCACCUCAGCCUCUGAACGUGCUGGAAUUACAGAUGGAGCAACUGAGAUUCUUCCCCAACUAGACUAUAAGUUCUCUGAGGGAUAAGGAACAUGUCUGGUUUCCUCAUCUGUCUGUCACAGCACCCUGUGAAUGCCUAGAAGACAGUAAGAAUGAACUGAAUGUUUGUAGAAAGAAUAACGAUAAUUACCUAUAGUCUAAAGGUUUAGUGAUGAAAUGAAGUCCACUAAGUUCUCUCUGCUUAUUUCCACCCUCAAUAAUAUAUUUCCUCAAACCCCACAGAGGAAAGACAAUUCAUUUUUUACUAUUGUUUAAUAGAGCCAUGUUUGUAUGUAGCUUCCUGUUCCGCUUAGCCCAAGACAUUAAGUGGGUCAGGAGUAAACUCUGCCCUCUGUUUUUUUCCAUUCCUUUGUCACCUGCUCAAGUGGCAGCCCAGAGUAGCUUGGUGGCUUCCCUGAAGAUGAGCAGAGUGCAGUAGAUUAGGCAUGGCCUUUCUAUCUAUUUCUACAAUGGAGAAACUGAAAAAGCUAUAUGGCUGGAAAAAAAUCACCUUGGUACUAAUUUGCUAUUUUACAAUAUUUGACAAUAAAGACCUGUGGUCUUCCUAUGUAUUUCUUUUUAAACAAUGAGGGGUAUGGAACAUCUAUGCAUAAACAUCAAGGUCUUCAAGUG
rnacentral:antisense_RNA from 1 species